GGGCGGGGAAAUGCCUAUUCUCUUAUUAUUCAACCCAAAAAUACUACGUACUAUAUAUUAUGUAGGAGCAUUAGCUAAAGUCUAUCAAUCUAUCAGCACGAUUCUUUUUAAGAAAUUAAUGAGAACAAUUGGUACACAAUAAUAAUCCUAGCUGCGAGGGACUGCGACAUCAAUGACCUUGUUGGUCACGAUUAAGACCCCUUAGUAUCCAUCUGCCCGAAUUGAUCUUGAUUAAUAUCUUCCCCCUCGGCCGCUCCCCCCUCCUUUUAGAUUAAAAUUUACACGCACUAGAUGUGUAACACCAAGU
rnacentral:lncRNA from 1 species